rnacentral:lncRNA from 1 species
GCCAUUUUCUGACAUUUGAAAAGAUCUGAAGAUACGCCCCUUGGAUGCCUGCAGAGAAGCUCUGGGGCUUCAGUCAAUGACUCAGGGUAGCCACCGAACAUGAUGCUCGGGCAGUGGGUGCCACCUGGACUCCACUCUCCCCUCUCUCUGGGAUCAUAGAGUCCAAGGUGUUCUGUGGCCUCUCGGCCAAUCCCAGCAGCUCAGCGUGCAGAAGACCGAGGAGCCAUUGGUCAGUGUAGGAGGUGCCUGGAGUUUUGGAGAUGGGAUCCACAGGAAUUCAACACAACACGAAAUAAUCAACAAAUUCGGGGAAUGUUAAUCUGACCAUCACCAGUUACAAAUGAUGUUUCAUGCUACCUUCUAUUCCUGCCUUCAUAAAUCAAGGUAAUUACUUGGCAAUCUGGCUAUGCCUUGUAAGGCAAAAGAGCUGUUCAUUUCUUGUGUCAAAUGGUGAACAGGGAGGGAGAGUAAAAUGGUAAAUAACCCUGCCUCCCAUCUGUGCCCAAUCAGCUCUAAAUCUCCAGGAAAAAAUGUGCUCAGGAUGGCCAGAGAAAUGUCCUUCCAACUGUGCAUGGAAAGGUAUGAUUUUGUGCAGCAGGUGAAGGACUGGUUAGAGUAAGUGUGUGCUGAGCUUUUGUGUUUGAAAGCGAGCCUGUGCACUUCUAACGAUUGGAAGGUUUCCUUGCCUUCUCCGAUCUUACACACAGCAAGGACAGCAAAGCCUUCCAGACCUGCCUGUGACAUGCACUGCACAUUCUAAAGAUGCCUAUGCAAUGGAAAACACCACUGUCUGCUCCAGCACAGCUGCCAUUCUUCCAUCUUAUCGACCUUAAUGCAACAACUCCUCACAGGCAGAGAUUUUAAAAUGUGUUCUUGGCAGAAGAGAGACUCAAAGAUGGGACAAAUGUGUCAUUUAAAUGCCUGUUAAAAUGGAAACAGACAUAGUAUAGUCAGAGGAUUGUGGCAGCUAAGAACAUAGUCUCUGGAGCAAAUCUGCAUGGGUGGCAAUGCCAAGCACAUGAGGUCCUAGUUGUAUGAACUUAGGAAAAGAAAAAGAGAACAUAUAUCCCCCUACCUUUUGAUUUCCAACAGUCUACUGAGAGGCCAAGAUUAUUUGCAGGGAAAGAAAAGGGGUCAAAAUGUUUUGCCAGUAACUCCCAAAUCAUCUACAGCCAAGGAGAAAAGUGUUUCAAGACAGAGGUGCUCAAUGGUAUCAAAUACUGCCAACAGACCAAGUAAUACAUGCAUUGAAGUGUCUACUGGAUCUAGCUAUAUGAAUUUUUAAUUUAGGACACUUAGGCCAUACUGAAGCAAGGUGACAAAAUGAAUAGCUACAAUGUCUCGUGAAUCUUGGGUUUCCAUUCACCCUGGUAUUCAAGAGAAAUUCUUGCAUCAUGGAAGUUGCAGUUGGAUAGGACUUUCUCAGCUGAACACUGUCAUCUGCCAGAGCUUCAGGCAAGAACCCAGAACAGAUGAAACCCCAGACAUGACAAAAUAAGCCAAAGAAUACCAGGCCAAGGUGUGAAAGGCCAGAUGAGAACAAGCAGCGUACACGAUUCUGUUGCCAACAGAUCUCCCCUAACAGUGUCGUGCACCAAAUUUCCACAGUGAAUGUCAGGAAAAAAUGGCAAUUGAGGUGGGUGGUCAAAAGAGAAGCACAGUCUAUGAUGAAGUCACCCCAGAGAAGUCCUUUUUCCGUUUUCUCCUGAGAAAUUACCAGAAGAAAUUAAAAUCCUUUUGAGUAUUGCAUU